ensembl:snRNA U1 U1 spliceosomal RNA
AUACUCACCUGGCAGGGGAAAUUCCAUGAUCACAAAGGUGGUGUUCCCAGGGCGAGGCUUAUCCAUUGCCCUCCGGAUGUGCUGACCCCUGCAAUUUCCCCAAAUGUGGGAAACUCAACUGCAUAAUUUGUGGUAGUGGAGACUGCGUUCGCACUCUCCC